rnacentral:rRNA from 1 species
AAUUUUCCUUUAAGUGGGGUAUAGCCAGGCGAAAGCCUGAUUAACACCGCAUACAAUCAUGAUUCGAUGGAGUUGUGAUAAAAGAUGGGUUCCUUCGGGACCAUUGCUUAAAGAUAAGCCUGCAUCUGAUUAGUUAGUUGGUAGGGUAACGGCCUACCAAGACCACGACCAGUAGCUGUUCUAAGAGGAAGAUCAGCCACAUUGGGACUGAGAUACGGCCCAGACUCCUACGGGAGGCAGCAGUGAGGAAUUUUGCGCAAUGGGUGAAAUCCUGACGCAGCAACGCCGCGUGACCGAUUGAAGCUUUUAGGAGUGUAAAGGUCUGUCGCGAGGGAAGAAAAUAUCCGAGAAGAAAAGUUCGGUAGUUGACGGUACCUCGCAAGCAAAGCUCCGGCUAACUUCGUGCCAAGCAGCCGCGGUAAUACGAGGGGAGCAAGCGUUGUCCGAAAUAACUGGGCGUACAGGGUACGUAGGCUUUUUUGUAUGUUUCCGGUGAAAGUCACAGGCUUCACUUGUGAAUGGCCCGGAAAACUGCCAGAGAUUGAAUCCGAAAGGGGGAAACAAGAAUUCCUGGUUUACCGGUGAAAUGCGUAGAUAUUCAGGAGGAAUACCAGUGGCGAAGGCGGCUUUCUGGUUCGGAAUUGACGCUGAUGUACCAAAGCGUGGGUAGCCAACAGGGAUAAGAUACCCUGGUAGUCCACGCCUUAAACUAUGGAUACUUGAUGUCGGGGCGUUCGGUCGACCCGGUGUCGUAGCUAACGUGUUAAGUAUCCCGCCUGGGGACUACGGUCGCAAGACUGAAACUCAAAGGAAUUGACGGGGGCCCGCACCAGCGGUGGAACAUGUGGUUUAAUUCGAUGCAACGCGAAGAACCUUACCUGGGCUUGACAUAUAUAUGGCGUAUGUAAGAAAUUAUGGUAUUCUGUCUGUUUUUUCAGAUAGCAUAUAUACAGGUGAUGCAUGGCUGUCGUCAGCUCGUGUCGUGAGAUGUAGGGUUA